rnacentral:rRNA from 1 species
AGUGAACGCUGGCGGUAGGCCUAACACAUGCAAGUCGAACGGCAGCACAGGAGAGCUUGCUCUCUGGGUGGCGAGUGGCGGACGGGUGAGGAAUACAUCGGAAUCUACUCUGUCGUGGGGGAUAACGUAGGGAAACUUACGCUAAUACCGCAUACGACCUACGGGUGAAAGCAGGGGAUCUUCGGACCUUGCGCGAUUGAAUGAGCCGAUGUCGGAUUAGCUAGUUGGCGGGGUAAAGGCCCACCAAGGCGACGAUCCGUAGCUGGUCUGAGAGGAUGAUCAGCCACACUGGAACCGAGACACGGUCCAGACUCCUACGGGAGGCAGCAGUGGGGAAUAUUGGACAAUGGGCGCAAGCCUGAUCCAGCCAUACCGCGUAGGUGAAGAAGGCCUUCGGGUUGUAAAGCCCUUUUGUUGGGAAAGAAAUCCAGCUGGCUAAUACCCGGUUGGGAUGACGGUACCCAAAGAAUAAGCACCGGCUAACUUCGUGCCAGCCGCCGCGGUAA